UACAGAGGGUGCAAGCGUUAAUCGGAAUUACUGGGCGUAAAGCGUGCGCAGGCGGUUUCGUAAGUCUGUCGUGAAAUCCCCGGGCUUAACCUGGGAAUGGCGAUGGAGACUGCGAGGCUAGAGUUUGGCAGAGGGGGGUAGAAUUCCACGUGUAGCAGUGAAAUGCGUAGAGAUGUGGAGGAACACCGAUGGCGAAGGCAGCCCCCUGGGUCAAAACUGACGUUCAUGCACGAAAGCGUGGGGAGCAAACAGG
rnacentral:rRNA from 1 species